rnacentral:rRNA from 1 species
GUCUACAGCCAUACCACCCUGAAUGUGCCCGAUCUUUCUGAUCUCAGAAGCUAAGCAGGUCGGGCCUGGUUAGUACUUGGAUGGGAAACUGCUUGGGAAUACUGGGUGCUAUAGGCU